rnacentral:rRNA from 1 species
AGUGAACGCUGGCGGUAGGCCUAACACAUGCAAGUCGAACGGCAGCACAGGAGAGCUUGCUCUCUGGGUGGCAAGUGGCGGACGGGUGAGGAAUACAUCGGAAUCUACUCUGUCGUGGGGGAUAACGUAGGGAAACUUACGCUAAUACCGCAUACGACCUACGGGUGAAAGCAGGGGACCUUCGGGCCCUGCGCGAUUGAAUGAGCCGAUGUCGGAUGAGCUAGUUGGCGGGGUAAAGGCCCACCAAGGCGACGAUCCGUAGCUGGGCUGAGAGGAUGAUCAGCCACACUGGAACUGAGACACGGUCCAGACUCCUACGGGAGGCAGCAGUGGGGAAUAUUGGACAAUGGGCGCAAGCCUGAUCCAGCCAUACCGCGUGGGUGAAGAAGGCCUUCGGGUUGUAAAGCCCUUUUGUUGGGAAAGAAAUCCAGCUGGCUAAUACCCGGUUGGGAUGACGGUACCCAAAGAAUAAGCACCGGCUAACUUCGUGCCAGCCGCCGCUGAA